CGGGGACCCGCACAAGCGGUGGAUUAUGUGGUUUAAUUCGAUGCAACGCGAAGACCCUUACCUGGACUUGACAUGUUAGUGAAAGAUCUGUGAAAGCAGAUCCUCUGCUGAGCUUGCUCAAUAGCACUAUCACAGGUGAUGCAUGGCUGUCGUCAGCUCGUGUCGUGAGAUGUUCGGUUAAGUCCGAUAACGAGCGCAACCCCUAUUCUUAGUUGCCAGCACGUAAUGGUGGGGACUCUAAGAAAACUGCCCGGGUUAACCGGAAGGAAGGUGGGGUCGACGUCAAGUCAGUAUGUCCCUUACGUUCAGGGCUACACACGUAAUACAAUGGAAAAUACAAUGGGUCGCCAAAUCGCGAGAUGGAGCUAAUCUCAAAAAAUUUUUCCAAGUUCGGAUUACAGUCUGCAACUCGACUGUAUGAAGUCGGAAUCGCUAGUAAUCGCUCAUCAGCAUGGAGCGGUGAAUACGUUCCCGGGUCUUGUACACACCGCCCGUCACGCCAUGGAAGCCGGUAGUACCCAAAGCCAGUGUCCUAACUUUCGAGAGGGAGCUGUUUAAGGUAAGAUUGGUAACUGGGGCGAAGUCGUAACAAGGUA
rnacentral:rRNA from 1 species